UACGGAGGUGGCAAGCGUUGUUCGGAAUUACUGGGCGUAAAGGGUUCGUAGGUGGCCUGCUAAGUCAGACGUGAAAUCCCUCAGCUUAACUGGGGAACUGCGUCUGAGACUGGUGGGCUUGAGUGCAGGAGAGGAACGCGGAAUUCCAGGUGUAGCGGUGAAAUGCGUAGAUAUCUGGAGGAACACCGGUGGCGAAGGCGGCGUUCUGGACUGCUACUGACACUGAGGAACGAAAGCCAGGGGAGCAAACGGG
rnacentral:rRNA from 1 species